rnacentral:rRNA from 1 species
GCAUAUCAAUAAGCGGAGGAAAAGAAACCAACAGGGAUUGCCUCAGUAGCGGCGAGUGAAGCGGCAAAAGCUCCAUUUUGAAAGCUCUUCGGAGCGUUGUAGAUUGGUGGGAAGCUAACGGCUGGUGGGAGACCAAGUCCUCUGGAACGAGGCGCCAUAGAGGGUGAGAGCCCCGUGUGUCUCCUUUACCGACCUUUCAGCCCCCGCCGCGGAGUCGAGUUGUUUGGGAAUGCAGCUCUAAGUGGGUGGUAAAUUCCAUCUAAGGCUAAAUAUUGGCGAGAGACCGAUAGCGAACAAGUACAGUGAUGGAAAGAUGAGAAGCACUUUGAAAAGAGAGUGAAACAGUACGUGAAAUUGUUGAAAGGGAGGGGCUUGCAAGCAGACACGGCCUUCGUGCCGGGCCAGCAUCGGUUGCUAGGGGUGGAUAAGGAACAAGGAAUGUAGCUCCUCGGAGUAUUAUAGCCUUGCGCGAUACACCCACUGGCGACCGAGGCCUGCGGUAUUCUUUACCUAGGAUGCUGGCGUAAUGGUUGCAAGCCGCCCGUCUUGAAACACGGACC